UAGGGAAUCUUCCGCAAUGGGCGAAAGCCUGACGGAGCAACGCCGCGUGAGUGAAGAAGGUCUUCGGAUCGUAAAACUCUGUUAUUAGGGAAGAACAAAUGUGUAAGUAACUAUGCACGUCUUGACGGUACCUAAUCAGAAAGCCACGGCUAACUACGUG
rnacentral:rRNA from 2 species